rnacentral:rRNA from 1 species
ACUACAUGAAGCUGGAAUCGCUAGUAAUCGCAGGUCAGCAUACUGCGGUGAAUACGUUCCCGGGUCUUGUACACACCGCCCGUCACACCAUGGGAGCCGGAAAUGCCCGAAGCCUGUGAGCUAACUUUUAGAGGCAGCAGUCGAAGGUAGAAUCAAUGAUUGGGGUGAAGUCGUAACAAGGUAUC